UACGUAGGGUGCAAGCGUUAUCCGGAAUUAUUGGGCGUAAAGAGCUCGUAGGCGGUUUGUCGCGUCUGCUGUGAAAACUGGGGGCUCAACCCCCAGCCUGCAGUGGGUACGGGCAGACUAGAGUGCGGUAGGGGAGAUUGGAAUUCCUGGUGUAGCGGUGGAAUGCGCAGAUAUCAGGAGGAACACCGGUGGCGAAGGCGGGUCUCUGGGCAAUAACUGACGCUGAGGAGCGAAAGCGUGGGGAGCGAACAGG
rnacentral:rRNA from 1 species